AGUGACCCAAUUAUUUUGACAAUUAGUAAACAAAAUAAACUUUCGAAGCAGAUGGAUAAAUUUGAAAUCAAAGAUGACUAAUUGAUUAAUGUUUUAAAGCAGAGAUGGUUUGCUAAGCAGCAAGUGGAUACCACAUCGCAGGUAACUUGAUUUCCAAUUCCAUUUUUGCAUUGUAUGUGUACUCAUGCGUAUUAUUUAUUUUUCAGGUUAAUAUUGCAUUAAAAUAUAGGUAUGAAAAUAUCAAUACAGAUCCGAGGAUUAAAUAGACUUUUGUUGUUGUUCAAAUAUGUAUUCCAUAAUUUUAAUUUUGUAAAGGUAUAUUUCUUUGUGUUUUUUUUUAUCUCAUUUUAGGUGCAGGUGAAGCCGAAACACCCAAUGGAAAAAGCAGACGAAUCAUAAUCAAAAUACAAUAAAUAUAAAGCGAAAUUCUUUGCUGACAAUUUAGAAAAUUUUUCAACCAAAUGAAAUAAAAGUUUGGUAAACGAUGAAAUUUUUAUUGAAUGAAAACACUAUAGCUCUACUGACACAAAAAGAAAUUUUUAUGAAAUCACUAAACUUGAAUAAAACCCCAGGUUUUAAUCCCAAUACUGCUGAGAUAAAAACAUAAUUGUCGAGAAUUGCUUUAACAUUUUUGAAAAAAAUUAUGAAGGUUAAGAAGGUUGAUGCCGAUAAUAGAAAAUAAGAAAUUGAUUCCAAACCAUUAGUUUGGUCUUCGACAAUAUAAGAAUAAUAAUAAAUAAGAAAGGCAAAUAUAUUCGACAUCUCUGGACGUGGCACAGGCGUUCGAUAAAGUUUGGUCCGACGGUUUAUUAUUUAAACUAAAUAAAUUAACACCAUUGCAAUUCAUGCAGUUACUUGAAUCAUAUUUAUGUGACAAACUUUUUCGAACCAAGCAGGACGGGGAGUAUUCCAUGCUCAGGGAAAUUAAGGCUGAUAAGCCUCAAGGCUGUAUUCUGAAUCCUAUAUUGUACGGGCUUUACACAAGGGGUGCCGGUGAUACAGCAAUGGGAAUAGCAUCUAAUGUAAUCGUAGUCCAACCGCAACUUUUUUCCAUUCACCAGUUUUCUUCGCAAUUCAAUCACUCGCUUGGAGUCUUCUGGGUUAUCUCUUCAUGCUCAUAUAGAGAUUAUUGAAGAUGCUUUUGCAAAAAUAAAUAACGUAAUUGGGUCACAUGCAGUCUCAGUUAAAGUUAAAAUCGCCAAUAUUCCUAAAAAAACUAGUGAUUUCAAUAUUUUAAAAAAUGUUACAAACGUUAUCGCUUGGAACACAGCAUCUCCUCAAAAUUUAUACAAAAAUGCUGAAAUCAAGACAUUUAAAUUUGUGCCAGUGACUUCAACUGAUAACCAACAACAUUUUACGUUUGAAAAUUUGCGUAAUCAUUUUCAUUAUAAACUGCAAUUUUAAAUUAUGUCAGAAAAUUUAAUUUGAUAUUUAAUCAAAUUGUACAAUAAAACUGAUGCUUUA